GAUGAAGAACGUAGCGAAAUGCGAUACGUAAUGUGAAUUGCAGAAUUCAGUGAAUCAUCGAGUCUUUGAACGCACAUUGCGCCCCCUGGUAUUCCGGGGGGCAUGCCUGUCCGAGCGUCAUUGCUGCCCUCAAGCACGGCUUGUGUGUUGGGCCUCCGUCCUCCUCCCGGGGGACGGGCCCGAAAGGCAGCGGCGGCACCGCGUCCGGUCCUCGAGCGUAUGGGGCUUCGUCACCCGCUCUUGUAGGCCCGGCCGGCGCUUGCCGACACAUCAAUCUUUUUUCCAGGUUGACCUCAAAUCAGGUAGGACUACCCGCUGAACUUAAGCAUAUCAAUAAGCGGAGGA
rnacentral:misc_RNA from 1 species